UAAGGCUGAACUACCCCAAAGCUGUCAUAAGCUCCCGGAAAUGUGAAACCCAACCACGAAGGUGGCCUUAAACUCUCUUGAUCCCACGAAAGCUGUGAAACAAACUGGGAUUAGAUACCCCACUAUGCACCGCCGUAAACCUUGAUAGAAAACUACAAACCUAUCCGCCCGGGGACUACGAGCAUAAGCUUAAAACCCAAAGGACUUGGCGGUGCUUUAGACCCCCCUAGAGGAGCCUGUUCUAGAACCGAUAAUCCCCGUUCAACCUCACCUUUUCUUGUUUGCCCCGUCUAUAUACCGCCGUCGUCAGCAUACCCUGUGAAGGAAACAUAGUAAGCAAAAUUGGUAUAACCCAAAACGCCAGGUCGAGGUGUAGCACACGAAAAGGGAAGAAAUGGGCUACAUUUCCUCAUACAGGAAAUACGAAUUGUGUCAUGAAAUAACACAUGAAGGAGGAUUUAGCAGUAAGUAAAAAACAGAGUGUUUUACUGAACCCGGCCCUGAAGCACGCACACACCGCCCGUCACCC
rnacentral:rRNA from 1 species